CGAAACCUCCUCACACUUUUAUUGAUCAUGUGGUCUUUGGUAUGCUUCCUGAGGACAGUAAAAGCCCGGAGACCGGUCCCAAAGUCAAAUUUGCAGCAAGCGUAGGCCCAUAGGAACAUGCCUUUACUAUUUCGGUAAGAAUUGGCUUGACCUCGGACAUUGGCUUUUGUCCAAGUGCUGUAUACGCAGAAACUUUGAGACAUGGAUUUAAAAUAAUGUAAUGAAAAAUACAUUAUCAGAUUGCAAAUUAACUUAUGUUCAAUAAAAAUCGUCCUUUUUGCGUGUACACUUGUUUCGAGUUGCGGUAAACGCGUUUACAUCAUUUGGUUUUCACUCUUUCUGCUCAUAAAGGUGACAACUUGCACAUUAUAUAUGUAGAUGUAACAAUGCAUACUCUGUAUAAU